rnacentral:rRNA from 1 species
UACAGAGGACUCAAGCGUUGUUCGGAUUCAUUGGGCGUAAAGGGUGCGUAGGUGGCGUCGUAAGUCAGGGGUGAAAUCUCGGGGCUCAACCCCGAAACUGCACUUGAUACUGCGAUGCUCGAGUACUGGAGAGGAGAUUGGAAUUUACGGUGUAGCAGUGAAAUGCGUAGAUAUCGUAAGGAAGACCAGGGGCGAAGGCGAAUCUCUGGACAGUUACUGACACUGAGGCACGAAGGCCCGGGGAGCAAACGGG